GACGAACGCUGGCGGCGUGCUUAACACAUGCAAGUCGAACGAAGUGGCGAACGGGUGAGUAACGCGUAAUCAACCUGCCCUUCAGGGGGGAAUAACAGUUGGAAACGACUGCUAAUACCGCAUACUGAAGGAGGGGAUUGCGUCUGAUUGGCUAGUUGGAGGGGUAACGGCCCACCAAGGCGAUGAUCAGUAGCCUGGCGUGGGGGAUGAACCGCCACAAUGGGACUGGGACACGGGCCCGACGCCUACGGGAAGGAGCAGUGGGGAAACUUCCGCAAUGGACGAAAGUCUGACGGAGGAACGCCGCGUGAGUGAUGACGGGCUUUGGGUUGGAAAGCUCUGUUAAUCGGGAAGCGGUACCGGAAUAGAAAGCCACGGCUAACUACGUGCCAGCAGCCGCGGUAAUUC
rnacentral:rRNA from 1 species